AGAUUGAACGCUGGCGGCAUGCCUUACACAUGCAAGUCGAACGGCAGCACGGGAGCAAUCCUGGUGGCGAGUGGCGAACGGGUGAGUAAUAUAUCGGAACGUGCCCAGUAAUGGGGGGAUAGCCCGGCGAAAGCCGGAUUAAUACCGCAUACGACCUACGGGUGAAAGCGGGGGAUCGCAGGACCUCGCGUUAUUGGAGCGGCCGAUAUCAGAUUAGCUUGUUGGCGGGGUAAAAGCCCACCAAGGCGACGAUCUGUAGCUGGUCUGAGAGGACGACCAGCCACACUGGGACUGAGACACGGCCCAGACUCCUACGGGAGGCAGCAGUGGGGAAUUUUGGACAAUGGGCGCAAGCCUGAUCCAGCCAUGCCGCGUGUGGGAAGAAGGCCUGGUGUAACGAACUUUGUUCAGGAGAACGAGUCUACUAACUAUUAGAGUCGAAU
rnacentral:rRNA from 1 species